GAAGGAGACUGCGCCGACGAU
rnacentral:snRNA from 1 species